rnacentral:rRNA from 1 species
UACGUAGGGGACGAGCGUUGUCCGGAGUUACUGGGCGUAAAGGGUGCGCAGGCGGGUGUCUUUGUUUGCGGUGAAAGCUCCUGGCUUACCUGGGAGAGGGCCGUGAAGACGGGGCAUCUUGAGGCUCGGAGAGGGACGUGGAAUUCCGGGUGGAGCGGUGAAAUGCGUAGAGAUCCGGAAGAACACCGACGGCGAAGGCAGCGUCCUGGCCGAGACCUGACGCUCAGGCACGAAAGCGCGGGGAG